rnacentral:tRNA from 1 species
UGGCUGAGAUGGUAAAGAAUCUGCCUGCAAUGCAGGAGACCCAGGUUCAAUCCCUGG